GCAUGAGAUGAUUUGCAUUACAUAUUUCGCUAAUAAAAUCAUUUAUGUUUUAAUUGGUUUGAUUUAUAAAAUCAAUUAUUGAAGAAAAAUGAGUAAGGAUAUUGUUGGUGUCCUUAACUCAAGAGAUUUAGUUUUCAAAUAUUUAUUUAUUAAAUUUUGAAAUCCCGGCUAAGUGAAUCAUAGAAUAUUAAGCGAUUCACUAUAAGAUUAAGGUUUAUUUUAGGACUAUGAGUUUAAGUUGAGAACUUAUCUUGUAGGACCUACAGAAGAGGAUACUUAAGUUCCUAAUCAGCUCAGUUAAAUUAUUUGGAUUGUCUCCAAAUCAGAUUGAGCAGCUGGUGGUGACGUGCGAGGCUGAGGAAGGGUUGUUGCUAUGGAUUUUGAAGAAAUGCUAUGUUUACUCCCGCUGAAAUAAAUUCACUUAGUGAAUAUUAUCUGAUGCCCAACUAUGUUAAUACUUUAUUCAUAUUUUUAUAUGAAUUUCACUCUCCAUCACUUUCUUAGCAAUUGUUUUCCGCAUCUAUCAUAUGCUUAGUAUGAGACGUUGUCUUGGUCUCA